rnacentral:tRNA from 1 species
GCGGGGGUACCCAAGCGGUCAAAGGGGCUGGAUCUUGGAUUACAUGUAAUCCUCGAGGCUUAGCUAAGGACCCAGUAGCUUAGUGCUUUCCAGAGUUCGAAUCUCUGCCCCCGCA